rnacentral:tRNA from 1 species
AUUUAUAUAGUUUAAAUAAAACCUUACAUUUUCACUGUAAAAACAGGAUUACCUUAUAAAUA